AGACCCGAAACCCGGUGAUCUAGCCAUGGGCAGGUUGAAGGUUGGGUAACACUAACUGGAGGACCGAACCGACUAAUGUUGAAAAAUUAGCGGAUGACCUGUGGCUGGGGGUGAAAGGCCAAUCAAACCGGGAGAUAGCUGGUUCUCCCCGAAAGCUAUUUAGGUAGCGCCUCGUGAAUUCAUCUCCGGGGGUAGAGCACUGUUUCGGCUAGGGGGCCAUCCCGGCUUACCAACCCGAUGCAAACUGCGAAUACCGGAGAAUGUUAUCACGGGAGACACACGGCGGGUGCUAACGUCCGUCGUGAAGAGGGAAACAACCCAGACCGCCAGCUAAGGUCCCAAAGUCAUGGUUAAGUGGGAAACGAUGUGGGAAGGCCCAGACAGCCAGGAUGUUGGCUUAGAAGCAGCCAUCAUUUAAAGAAAGCGUAAUAGCUCACUGGUCGAGUCGGCCUGCGCGGAAGAUGUAACGGGGCUAAACCAUGCACCGAAGCUGCGGCAGCGAACGUAUCACUUAAAGCGAUUCAGCGGGUUACGAUUGACGGAGCGAAGCGACGUCAAAGCGUAUACAAAGUCGAGUCGGUUUAAGGAUACGUUCGUUGGGUAGGGGAGCGUUCUGUAAGCCUGUGAAGGUGUGUCGUGAGGCAUGCUGGAGGUAUCAGAAGUGCGAAUGCUGACAUAAGUAACGAUAAAGCGGGUGAAAAGCCCGCUCGCCGGAAGACCAAGGGUUCCUGUCCAACGUUAAUCGGGGCAGGGUGAGUCGACCCCUAAGGCGAGGCCGAAAGGCGUAGUCGAUGGGAAACGGGUUAAUAUUCCCGUACUUGGUGUUACUGCGAAGGGGGGACGGAGAAGGCUAUGUUGGCCGGGCGACGGUUGUCCCGGUUUAAGCGUGUAGGCUGGUUUUCCAGGCAAAUCCGGAAAAUCAAGGCUGAGGCGU
rnacentral:rRNA from 1 species